rnacentral:lncRNA from 15 species
CAGUGAAACUCCCCUCAUCCAUCCCGACAGGGUGCUCCUGUCAGCCGUCCCCGCUGCAGCUGCUCUUUGGCCCCAGACAGAGCCGCUGCUGACCCGAGAGUGUCACUCCUCCUCCCUUCAUGCACUUUCCUAGAUGUGCAUCAACGUUUUAUUAUAUUUUACAUCUUUUAAGAAAAAAAUCGUCUCUUUGUCUGUCCUGUUGCACGUGUAAAAUCACUUAUUUUGUCUGACCAGUGAUUUAAAACAGACAAAAGAAAGGCUUGAAACUACAAUAAAUAAAUAAAUAAAUAAAAUCAAGGUUGACAUUCAUACUUUAAAUUUGUAUUAACACAUUGGAUGGAUUUAGCUGCUGAUUAUUUUUCUAUUGAUGGACUAAUUGAUUGAUCAACUAAUCCUUUCAGCUCUAAAUCUUAAAAUGGUAAAAACCCCAAAAGCUCUUGAUAAUCUGCACGGUGCCUCUUCAGUCAAGUAAUGUCAAGUCUACUUUUAUCCAAACAGGCCCAAAUUCACAGAUUUGUCUCAGAGGACAUUACAAUCUGUAAAACACAUCAAACAUCCCAACAUUAGAUCAAUAGAUUGACAACAUAAUAUAAAGAGUAUGAAACCAAGAACAUGUCACACAACCAAGUCAUACAUGAACUAAAGCAGGAGAGCUGUCACUGCCCCCUUUCAUCGCAUAUUUCCAGCAUGAACACUGUAUAUUUUGACUGAUCCUCUACGUGUCUUUUGCUGUCUGUUGUUGUUAUUCGAGCAGAGUGCGAGUUCCUGAGGUGCUGCUGAAAGCUUUUUCCAUGACGGACCGGCCAUCUGUCCAGAUAUUAUGGCACAUCUGUGUGCAUAUGCUUCUAAAAUUCCUCUGUUUGACAAGGGCCUGAAGGGUUGCGGUCUCCUUCCCUGCUUCCCUGUGAGGGAUCCCGUAUCCACACAGCUGCAGGGUUGCUGAUGGGAGUAGUAGUGACGUGUCGGUGACGCAGCAGCACCCCCUCCCUCAGUUUGACGGAGCAGCUGCAGGAGAGUUUGAUUCUCAUCUGCACACUGAGGGCUGCAAGUCUCCUGCGGGCUGAUCGAGGACAGAAAGCCGGUAAGUUGCUUUAUAAAGUCCCGCAGACUCAUUAUGUGAAUAUAAAGUUUGAAUGCACGAGUGUAAUUAAGCGCUAAUUUAAGAUCAUUAAGGAUAUUGUGUUUGAAACCCAGGCUUAAUAAUGAUCGCGAUGAACGGACAACGAAUACAGUUUAAUACUGUGACACUUUCUUUUUAACAAAAGGAUAAAGAGGUUAUAAAUCCCUUAAUGUUAAUAUUGCAGCAAUGUGUUUUAUU